GACGAACGCUGGCGGCGUGCUUAACACAUGCAAGUCGAGCGGAAAGGCCCUGCUUUUGUGGGGUGCUCGAGUGGCGAACGGGUGAGUAACACGUGAGUAACCUGCCCUUGACUUUGGGAUAACUUCAGGAAACUGGGGCUAAUACCGGAUAGGAGCUCCUGCUGCAUGGUGGGGGUUGGAAAGUUUCGGCGGUUGGGGAUGGACUCGCGGCUUAUCAGCUUGUUGGUGGGGUAGUGGCUUACCAAGGCUUUGACGGGUAGCCGGCCUGAGAGGGUGACCGGCCACAUUGGGACUGAGAUACGGCCCAGACUCCUACGGGAGGCAGCAGUGGGGAAUAUUGCACAAUGGGCGGAAGCCUGAUGCAGCAACGCCGCGUGCGGGAUGACGGCCUUCGGGUUGUAAACCGCUUUCGCCUGAGACGAAGCGUGAGUGACGGUAAUGGGUAAAGAAGCACCGGCUAACUACGUG
rnacentral:rRNA from 1 species